CCUACGGGUGGCAGCAGUGGGGAAUAUUGGACAAUGGGGGGAACCCUGAUCCAGCGACGCCGCGUGAGUGAAGAAGUUUUUCGGUAUGUAAAGCCCUAUCAGCAGGGAAGAAAAUGACGGUACCUGACUAAGAAGCCCCGGCUAACUACGUGCCAGUAGCCGCGGUAAUACGUAGGGGGCAAGCGUUAUCCGGAUUAACUGGGCGUAAAGGGCGCGUAGACGGUGCAGCAAGUAGGGUGUGAAAGGUCGGGGCCCAACCCCCGGACUGCAUUGGAAACUGUUGAACUGGAGUACAGGAGAGGUAAGCGGAAUGCCUGGUGUAGCGGUGAAAUGCGUAGAGAUUAAGAGGAACACCAAUGGUGAAGGCGGCUUACUGGACUGUAACUGACGUUGAGGCACGAAAGCGUGGGGAGCGAACAGGAUUAGAUACCCCAGUAGUC
rnacentral:rRNA from 1 species